rnacentral:rRNA from 1 species
UACGAAGGGGGCUAGCGUUGCUCGGAAUCACUGGGCGUAAAGCGCACGUAGGCGGCUUUCUAAGUCAGGGGUGAAAUCCUGGAGCUCAACUCCAGAACUGCCUUUGAUACUGGAGAGCUUGAGUCCGGAAGAGGUGAGUGGAACUCCGAGUGUAGAGGUGAAAUUCGUAGAUAUUAGCUAGAACACCAGUGGCGAAGGCGGCCAACUGGUCCGGCACUGACGCUGAGGUGCGAAGGCCAGGGGAGCAAACGGG